rnacentral:lncRNA from 10 species
AUAUACUCCUGCUUCACAGCACAGGGCUAUUUCCAGGCACUGUUAUUACUUUUAACAUAAGGUUCCUGAGCACUGCCUUAUUUUCAGAAAGCAACGGAAGCUUAGGAAGAAUAGAGCAAAGUGCUGAUUAGUGCUGGAACAAGAAAAGUACAAGAUGCAAUUGGACCAUGAACAAGAAGCUACUAACUUCUUUAGAGAAAGCAUUCUCACAGGCCUUCGAUGAAUUGGACGAUGUCCACCCACAUGGUGAGGGCAGAUCUUUCUUACUCCACCCACCGAUGCAGAUGUCAAUCUCUUCUGGAAGCACUUUCAAGGGCAUACCCAGAGCUAAAGCUUGACCAGCAUUAGUUGGUAAAUAUGUGAUUAGGAACUCUUUAUGAACCAGAAAAGAGAAAUCUUGCACUGAUUGGAAUAUGGCAGCCACUCACCAUCUCCCCUGUCUGCUCUCACUCAGUUUAUGUGACCCAAUGGGAAUGGAGAAUCUCAGGCAUAAAACCAACUGCUUCGUGGGUUACUCUGGAAAAUUCUAAACUGAAGCUUUUUGAGAAAGGCGACAUUACCUCAGAACUUCCACAUGUAGCUACUGUGGAGUUUCUGUUUAUGUGAAUGGAUAUUUUCACCAGAUAUUGGAAACAUGCUGAAGCUGGAUUCCAGUGCAAUAAAGGCAACUCAUUUAGCCAUUGGCCUGUGAUACUAUGAGAAAUACAGUUAAAUUAGACGAAUGCUCCACCAGGAAUUGUGGCCAAAAUAAAUGAUCAUUUUUUAAAAAAGAAAAAGAUAAAGACACAACAGAUUGUCAUUUUUUUCUUCUUGUCGAUGUCCUUGAAAAACAGACUUGAAGUCUCAAAUGAACACCUUAAAUUCCAAAUAACCAUUGAGGCAUUGGGGAAGACUUGUCUCCUUGUUGAUUCUAUGGAUGGAUAGAUGGAUGAUGAGUACUACAAAUAUUUUUAUCUCCUAUGUAUAAAUUAAAGGAAUAGUAACUGAGAAGGGCUUCAGAAAGCUUAUUGGAGGAUAGGCAUUCAGAGAAAAAACUGAAGGAUGAGUAAUUACAGGUGAAGUUGGAGGAGAGGCUAUUUUUGAUUGAAAGAAAAGUAAAGAGAAAGGCAUAGACAGAACUAAAGGAAAUGCAAUUUUACCUCUCAUACGAAGAGCAAUGAUUGUCCCCUCACUUUCAUAUUUCAAUAGAAGAAAAAUCUUUUUCCAAAUAAAAAUCAGAAAACUAAAAAAAUUAUUGAAAUAUUUCUAAUAAAUAACAUUUUCCUAUUUAUUACUUUAUUGCUAUAUUUUCUUAUAAAAUAUAUUUAAAUUAGAUACACAUAAAUAAUAUAUAAUCUAUCUUUAAAUUAGCAAAAUUUUAUACAAUACAAAUCACAAUUUUUAUAUUAUAUAUUCUUACCAUUCUUGUUCAUUUCUUGUCCAUAUAAAUUCACAUUAAUAUAAUUAUUAUUAUAGUGCAGAUACUACUUAAUAUUCCUUUUAACAUUAUUUGGUAAAAAAAAAGUUUUAGCAUUAUAUUUUUAAUUAUUAUAUAUAAUUAUUCAUAGCAUUCCAUUGAAUAGAUAAACUAUUAUUUAGUUUAACCAUUCUAAUGUUUCAAUAUUUUUGCUAUUAUACAUAAUGCUGCAAAGAAUAUCUUACUAGUGUGGCCAUUUUACUGCAAUGUUUUUUACCUUAGAUUUUAUUCUGUGAAUAACAUUACUAAAUGAAAGGAAUUUAUCUUUCUUAUGGUUUUUAAUAUGUAUUGCCAAUUGCAAUCACAAAACAAUCACUAGUUGCACACCAAUCAGCGGCAUAUUAGUGUAUUAAUUUCACCAAGUCCUGCCUUCAUUGGGUGCUACCAUGUUUUGGACUUUUUAACUGUUGAAUAAUUUAUCAGGUAUAUAAAUAAUCCAAAGAAUUUAAACUUUAAUGAACUGUUCCUCUACUGCUAAUCUAGCCCACAUAGGGAUUGUGAAGAUAGCUCAUUUAAUAAAUACUUCUUGACCACUGUCUUUGUUCUCAUUCCAUGCAGCAAAAGUAGCAGAGAAAAAGAAGCACAAGAGGAGAGAGGUGAUGAGGAUUCUGAACACAGAAGGCCUUCUAGGCCCUGUGUAUUAGGAUUUUGCCUUUAAUUAUGAGUGCCAUGGGGAGCCACUGUAAGGGAAACAAUUUCAUGUGAUCCUUGUCCUUUGGGAGCUUUUAAAAUCUUAAUGACGAGAUUAGAAUCAGAUGUUGUUCCCCAUCUCCCCAAAAUCCUGCCUCAACUCCAUCCUCAUCAUUGUGCAGAGAUCAGAAUACCAUGACCAGUCAUUGGAAAUACUGUUCCUCUCUCAGUAAGAAUGGAAGAAGGGAGGGCAUGGAGGGCCUCCUGUAUCUGGAGCAUUGUUAGGUGCUACAUAUCCAAUCUAAUUUUGUCCAACAACAGUCCUGUAAGGCAGGUCCCAUUUCUACAGAGGAAGAAACUGAGGCUCAAGGUGCUCACUUUGGGAAGACCUUCUGUUUGUCUUCCUUACAAAGAGAGAAAACAUUAGAUGCCUGAGUGCGCUCAAGGAGCUUUGACAGAAUCUGAAUCAUUUUUACUCUGUCUUUCAUGUUUAAAUUUCCAACAUACCUUUGUCGUUUUCAUCCACUGGAAACUGAGGCAUCCCAUGAUUCACAAAAUUGGCCCAUUGUUUAAACUGUCACCCUUCUUUCCUUAAUUCCACUCAUGAGCAUUUGGACCCAACCAAAGGAGGUUGGUUGGAUCCCACAACAGCAAGUCCACUGAACCGGGAAUAUGCAAUGGAAAUUGAAAUCUAUAAUGUGUUCUAUGAUUUUGAACAUGUCUACUCUCUCCCUGCAUCUCAAUCCCUCAAAUGUGCAGUGGGGGGAUGGAGAGAUAAGGCAGAGGAUCUCUGGGGAUCAUUCUUGCUUUAAUGAUCUAUGACAAAAUUUUCCCAGUGUACUGCACAGCCAGAAAGAGCCAAGGCUGAGAGCUAUUUCUCCCCAGAAAUGUGAUUCCACAGUCUUGGUUUCCUGGAACAACUGAAGAGUGUGGUAAUAGAAUCCAUGAAGAGAAACUUUAUGUGGCUAAUAUUCCAAAGCUUUCUAAGUGCAGUAAUAAACAGAGCACAUCUUGGUGACACAGAAAUUAUGAGGCAGAGACCAUAAUAAUAAUUCAUGUCUGCUUCUAUUCACUAUUGACAAGAUGUGCUUCCACUCCCAAGACACCAGAGCAGCAGAAAAAUAAGUAAUUCCCUGAGUUGCCACCACACUAUUUUGCUUUAUGCUAGUUUUUCUUCCUUUCUUUUCUGUCACCCACAAAAGUGAAACCCAGUCAUCUACAGAAGCUGCCUUUUGUCUAGGAGUAAGUGGUGGUUAUUAUCUGCAUCAUAUGAAGCUAGGCAUCAUGGUUUCCAUGCUGGAAAGCAAAGCUCCCCUAUGUUAGGCAUCUUUGGUUUACAAUAACAUACACUCAAUAACUGAGAAGAAAUUUUGAAUAGAUCACACUUGCAAAAUAUUUCCCAGACUGAAAAUUUCACGGAGACUGGUGAUCACGUAGGCCAAGUGUACUUUAUUUCCCCCGUCUCUCCAUUCCUCAGCCCCUGAAAUAAUUCCUAGGAGAUUUUUAGCUAACUCCGGCUGAGUCCACCAACAGAUGUGAAACUUAUUACCUUACUGUUUUGUGGCCCUUCCUAUUCUAUUUUCUUGCAACAGCUCCAAUUAUUAAAGUGAAAUACGACAUCUUAGCCCUUUUGGAGCAAGGCAGGAAGCAUUUAUUCUUUGAUUGUGUAACUGUUCUUCAAGAAUGUGUAAUGAGCCUCACACCUCUUCUAAGUCUUCUUUUUUCCAUGUUAAACAUUCACAAUUUCUUCCCCAUUCCUGGUUGGUAUAGGUCUCAGAUCUUGCUCUCAUAUUGUUUAGGCUUCCAAAGUGGUGCCACUUGACCAACACAAACUUGGAAAUAAGACAUCCUAAGCUUGAAACAACACAUCCAAUGUGGUCUAUCUUAGAGAAAAUGAUUGAAAUUGUCACCUGCCUUAAUCGGUACAUUUCAACUCUAUUACAAUAAUUUUGCCUAAGAAUGUUUUGAUUUUUCCAGCAACUGUGGCACACACUUGGUUUAUGUUUAGUCCUGUGAUCAACAUAUGAGCUUUGCUCUUCCUCCAAGGCACAAGCAGGAAUGUAGUGAGUAGCAAAGUGCUCUUGGUCACUCAAAUGUAUUGACAAAACAGGACCUCUUUAUGAAAUUAUAAAGUCAUCCCAGAUUGUAUUUUGGACAUUUCUUUUAUUUCUCAUGUUCUCAUACUUUCUGUAGUCUCCUCUGCCCCCAACAUACAUGCCUGACUUCUACUCAAAAGUAGUUCUACUCUGCUGUAGUAGUUCAGAGCCUGGCUUGUAAAGGCAGCCUGCUCAGGGUCAUAUUCCAGCUCUGACAUUUGCCUGCCCUGUAGGUUUCAGAAACUCAAUGUCUUUUGCUUGUUUAAGAUUUUUUACGUUAUGUAUAAAGUAAUAAUACUAUCUCCCUCAUUAUGUUGUUAUGAGAAUUUAAUGAUUUCAUAUAUCUUAGGCACUUAGGACAGUGCCUGGCACAUACUGAGUGCUAGCUGAUACAAUAAGCCUAGCAUGGUAUUUGGGACAAUCAGGUCUGAGGCUCGGGGUACCAGGGAUAUAGUCAUUACCCAGGUCCAGUAAUAUAUGUCACUUCUUUUUUUUCAGACCUUCAAUUUCUUUAGCUAUAAAAUAGGGAAAUCAAACAGUAAGAAAUAACAACAAUUCUUUCCAGCUCUGUCAUUUUUAAAACUGUAAUUGUCUGCAAGUCUUUGAUCUUCCAGCUCCUGACAUGGGUGGAGCAAGCAUCCCCAGCUUGGAUAAUAGGGGGAACAAGCUGAUGAUAUGACUCUUUUUGUAGACAUUGCUACUAGUGUUCAAACAAAUAAAGAUGUAAAGGCAAAAUGUUUCAUAAUUCUGGCAGGCAAAUUUGGAAAGACUUCUGAGGUCAGCGCCGCCUUAUCAGAGCCCCUUACAUCACACUACAUAGAGAGGCUGCCCACUCCCCAAAUUGCUACAAUUGGUAAUGUGGUAGAAGUAUUAAGAAAAGCCUGGGCAGUCAGAGAUGAGAGAUCAUGUCAUUUUGAGGGCUGAUAUAAAGAAAGGAAUCCAUUUUUCAUGGAAAUGCUUGGCUUUGCAUGAGCCUUUGAAAACCCACACAGUAAAUGCAGUGGAAAAGGCAAUGCACCACAGCAUAAGGCCAGAGGUCUGGGGAUACCUCAACUACAAAACCAACACAGCACUUAAUUGUAGCCAUAUGUCUGAAUCAGCCAGAAAUGCAACUUCUUCAUCAGUCCAAUGGGAUACUAAUGCUCUCGCUUGACUUUCUCACAGAACUGCAAGAGAUCAUGAACGUAAAGGCAUUUUGAAAGUUCAUUUCAACUGCAAUAUGGUAGUGACAGUAAGGUUCCUGACCUUCCAAGGCCAGAAUCUGUGUCCUGUAACCUCCACCACAAUUUAGUUCCUGAAACUACACACAAAAACACAGCCACUCUAGAAGAUGAAAGUGCAAAAUUACUUUCUUCCCCUACUCAAUGCCAUUAAAUGGCUUCCUUGACAUCUACAGCUCUUUGCAGUAAUGUUCACUAUGACUAAAUGUGUGGCUAAUAAUACCUUUUAUGAUCUGACCAUUUUAUCGCCUUAGCCUCAUUUUUCUCAUGCUUUGCUUUUAAGAUUUCAUGUCUUUGCUAUUGUGAAUAGUGCUGCAACAAACCUGCACAUGUACCCUUGAACUUAAAAUAAAAGUUAAAAAAAAAAUGUUCCUGAAGGAAAAAAAAAAAGUCUAAGAUUUUGUAGACUGAUCUUCCAGUUUCUUGAACAUACACAUUUCCUCUCACUUUAUGCUGCCACUUCUGCCUGGCUAGCUCCUACUCAUCUUCAGGUCUCAGCCUUUUACCUUUUAUUUGUUAUGUUAUUUUAUUUUUUUGAGACUGAGUCUUGCUCUUGUCACCCAGGCUGGAGUGCAGUGGCGCAAUCUCAGCUCACUGCAACCUCAACCUCCAGAGUUCAAGUGAUUCUCCUGCCUCAGCCUCCCAAAUAGCUAGAAUUACAAGUGCC